rnacentral:lncRNA from 1 species
UGACCCCAAAAUCCUGCUUUCCGAGCCCGUUUUGCGCCGGGGACGCCGCGCCGCCGGAAAAACCCCAAAAUCCCCCAAAAAAAACCCUCCAAAAGCGCCCCAAAACCUCACAGAUUCACCCCAAAAAUUCCAUUCGAGCUCGACCACCCUCCAAAUUGAAACGAAACCCACCAAAAUCACCCAAAAUGACCCAAAAGCGUGGGGUUUUUACCUCCCCACUGUCAAAAAGCCCAGAAAAUGGGACCCCGGGCCAGGUUUUCUUUUCCUGAGAGAACGUCGUUGUCUCAGGUUUUGCUUUUCUCCUGUGGGCCCCCCAAAAAAAAACCCAAAAAAGUUUAAAAAAACGGCCAAAGAAAAAAAGCAAAAGGCGCCGGUGGCGGCACUCCGGUGGCGGACGGGGUUCGAGUCCCCGCGGCGCCUGCUGCUGGCCGGGGCAUGUCACGAUAGGAAGGGGUUAUAUUGCGAUAGGAGGGGUUAUAUCGCGACAGGAGGGGUCAUAUUGCAACAGGAAGGGGUUAUAUCAUGACAGGAAGGGGUUAUAUCGUGACAGGAGGGGUUAUAUCGCGACAGGAGGGCAUUUUGGGGGAGCCUUUACGCGCCCCCAUUGAACCGUUGAGACGAAAACCCG